GGAACCGGUUCCGAAGUAAACGAUAAUAACCAGACCGAAUAAGAAUGAAAUUUCGGUGCCUGAUUUCGGUGCCUGAGUCUCUGUGUCACAAGGCGCACACACGUAAAGUCUCUUGUCAAUUGUCGGAAGCCCAUAUAGAAUCACGCCAAUCCAUUGGCUGAUGGCACGGGCGCCGCCUCGACGCUCCUACGUCGUCAUAUUAUAUUAGCGCGCAUUAUCUGAUUUCAUCGUGCGAAAUGAUUUUCAGGCGGUAGCGUAGAGUGGAGCUCAACUCUAGUCUACAUUGAUGGGCGGAGUAGUAGGAGUGGCCUGCUGAGCAUUGCAAUGCACUCUGGGGAUUGUUGUCGAAAAAAAGUAAUUUUCUGCCUUUUAUCGGCCAAGAAAUACCCAAAUUAGAAAUUUAUGAUACUAUUCUACUACAUGUAUGACCCACUUUUAAUACAUAUUCAUGUCUCCACCGGUGGAAUAACCCUUUAAAUCAACUUUACUGCAUAUGCGGAAAACGUAAUAAAAGCUCACCGAGUUGAUACAGAGAUCGAGAGACCCGACAUAAUAAAGUUUUCAAGCUGUUCUUCUGAAACGAUCACUAUAUUCGCGAAUUAUCCCACCACUUACUGGUGCGUUCGGGUCGCACUCAACUGCCACUCCAAGUUUUGGAAUCAAAAAGCUGGACAAAAAUGCCAUCUCCGUGUGGACGGAAGGCCGAAUCUUAGUGAAAAAGAUCUUUCAAAUGUAUCUGGAUUCAUAGACAAAGACAUGAAAACAUCUCUGAUCAUAAUGUACUUUUCCCCUAGUUCCCGUGUGCAGCUGCUGUACAAGGUCAAUGAAAUAUAUCAGAAAAUACACUCAAGCCCAGCUGGCCUCCAGAUGCAGUCGUGCCCCUGUGAAAGUGGAACACCUAGGGUUAAUCCAGACUCUUUCAGGAAUAUCCUGCGUCUCCUUUGAUUCCAGCUCAGAGAUGAAGUGUCCAAAUGUGCCAGCCGUCAUGUUUUCCCUCUGCCAGAUCUUGUUCAAUCUCUCAACUGCAUCGAGUGGGGCUUUCAACAUGACUGAAAAGCACUUCAAUAUGAACAUCAAGUGAAUGUGUCCUAGUUACUUUUUCUUCCCUCUUUAUCAGUUUACCUAUAUUCUUAGAAGUUCACUUGACUGAAUUAUCAGUCACCUUAUAUUUUGCGAAUCUUGAAUAAAUGUGCCAGAAGUAAUUCAAUAUUAUAUAAACCCAGUUUAUCUCUGUUCUACUGUAUACCGUUCAUUCAGUCUCGUAACAUAAACGAUGUUUGUAAAUGCCAACUGCUUUUUUCCUUCAGCCGUGUCUUGUAACUCAGGCUUUAUUCAUACCGACAGACAGGGGAGCAGCUCUCGGUAGCACCUGGUUCUUGUCUUUGCCGCUCUCGGCCCAUUUGACCUCCCCUCCAGUGCAGAAAAUGCAAGCUACAAUUAAGGGUGGAUCCGAGUCCCGUGAGACUUGAGUCAACCCUCUCGCUCUCCUCAUCUUGUCCUCGUUCGUCGUCUUGAGUGUCUUCAAACUAUGGCAACACUCCAGCCUCAUGCCACCUACCUGGGAACCUCUGAAAUCUACUGUUUCCAGGAGUCAGGAGUGAGCUGGGAAAUGAUCAACUAUAUAACUGAAG